UGGACAACUUAUUUAUUAAUGCUGUGACUCAUCACGAUCAGAAAACACGUUACAGUGUCUUUAUUCUUUCUUGGCACUGCAGAAUGAUGAAAUCAAAGGCAAUUACGAUGUUCAAUCUUAACAUGGGCUUACCCCGUGAAAUGGGAUGUUUCAGUUGCGCCAACAGCGAUUGUUGCGCCAGACCCAACCCCUCUGGCAACGGUGGCAACUGUUGUCAUACCAAUACCACCCUGACUGGCAGCGCUGGGCAGCAGCCUUUGCGAUUCCUCCCACGUCCACGCCCAUGGCCAGCAUCAUCACAAACAUGGCAAGCGCCAAAAACAUCACCAAGAAAGCCUUGUUCUCCAUGAUUUUGCUGCUCAGACUAAGAUCAAGUAGGCUUGUAUAUUAGA
rnacentral:lncRNA from 1 species